AGCAGCCGCGGUAAUUCCAGCUCCAAUAGCGUAUAUUAAAGUUGUUGCAGUUAAAAAGCUCGUAGUUGAAUUUCGGGAUUAGUGCGCCGGUCGUGCCUUCGGUAUGUACUGGUGUUACUGGUUCCUACCUUCUGACGAACCGUCAUGUUAUUAAUUUGGUGUGGCGGGGAAUCAGGACUGUUACUUUGAAAAAAUUAGAGUGUUUAAAGCAGGCUCGCGCUUGAAUACAUUAGCAUGGAAUAAUGAAAUAGGACGUUCGAUCCUAUUUUGUUGGUUUCUAGGAUUGACGUAAUGAUUAAUAGGGAUAGUUGGGGGCAUUAGUAUUCAAUUGUCAGAGGUGAAAUUCUUGGAUUUGU
rnacentral:rRNA from 1 species